rnacentral:rRNA from 1 species
AAUCAACGCUGGCGGCGUGCCUCAGACAUGCAAGUCGAACGCGAAAGUCCCCUUCGGGGGACAAGUAGAGUGGCGCACGGGUGAGUAACACGUAGGUAAUCUACCUUCGGAUGGGGAAUAACAAUCGGAAACGGUUGCUAAUACCGCAUAAUGCAGCGGCACCUAAUGGUGACAGUUGUUAAAGCGGGGGAUCGAAAGACCUCGCGUCUGAAGAGGAGCCUGCGGCGGAUUAGCAGUUGGUAAGGUAAUGGCUUACCAAGGCGACGAUCCGUAACCGGCCUGAGAGGGCGGUCGGUCACACUGACACUGACAUACGGGUCAGACUCCUACGGGAGGCAGCAGUCGGGAA